GACGAACGCUGGCGGCGUGCUUAACACAUGCAAGUCGAACGGAAAGGCCUGCUUUCCCUUGUGGAUUGCGGGUACUCGAGUGGCGAACGGGUGAGUAACACGUGAGUGAUCUGCCCCCAACUUGGGUAUAAGCCUGGGAAACUGGGUCUAAUUCCCGAUAGGACUGCAGGGUGGUGCCUGUGGUGGAAAACGAUUUUCUAGUGGUUGGGGAUGAGCUCGCGGCCUAUCAGCUUGUUGGUGGGGUAAUGGCCUACCAAGGCGGCGACGGGUAGCCUGCCUGAGAGGGUGGACGGACACAUUGGGACUGAGAUACGGCCCAGACUCCUACGGGAGGCAGCAGUGGGGAAUAUUGCACAAUGGGCGGAAGCCUGAUGCAGCGACGCCGCGUGGGGGAUGACGGCCUUCGGGUUGUAAACUCCUUUCGACCGCGAGGAAGCCACCUGGUUGGAAGGGUGGUGACGGUAGUGGUAGAAGAAGCACCGGCUAACUACGU
rnacentral:rRNA from 1 species